AUUCCUUGCAUAUUUCAAAGUAACCUUUUUACUGAUGGCUUCAAGAAUCGACGAUCUAUCCAAGGUGGAUGCCUCUAAAGAAACAUGGACAAUUGUUGCCAAAGUCAGUCAUCUAUGGCUUAGUCCGAGCUUAUAUGGCUCUAAGCUACCCUUUUCAAUGGACAUGAUACUUAUGGAUGAUAAGGGCUGCAAGAUUCAUGCUACUGUUAGGAAGACUUUGAUAUAUGCAUUAUAUUCUGAAAUAUUUAUCACAAAAAUUGUGUAUUUAUUUUCACCUUAUUAUGAUAGAGUUAUUUGAAUUAAUCAUAUGUACGCCUAAUUCCUAGAUUUAUGGAGUCAAAUGAUCCUGCAGCACAAGUUAUUAGUCCGCUUCAAGAAUCUUCAAAGAAAAUAUCCCUUGAAGAAGAUUUUCAGAAAAAAGAGUGAUGGGAAAACCAUCGAGCAACUCAAAGAUCUUGCUGAAAAAACAUUUUGUGUUGUACUUGGUACUGUUAAGUAUAUUGCAUAUGGUAUGGUCUGGCAUUAUCCUGCGUGCAAGUGUAGCAAGAAGGUGUAUCCUGCCGAUGGCAUGUAUUUUUGUGAGCCAUGUAAUCGUCACGUUGUUUCUCCAACUCACAAGUUUAGAAUUCAACUAAGGGUUAUGGAUUCAAAAGACACAGCUACCUUUGUGUUAUCUGAUCAGGAGGCGUCUGCACUACUGAACAAGUCAUGUUCAUAUUUGGUUGAAACUUAUGUAUGAAUUCAAGUUAAAUGGCAUAGCAUUCAACUGCAAUUGCAUA